UAAAGUCAGAAUGCAUUUCCAAGAAUUCCUUUAAAAGCUGGUUGUUAUCUUCACAAGAACACAGACAAUUGAAGUCAUUUUUAAAUGGGCUCUACAUUCAUGGUAGUAUCUGACAACCAGUUCAGUCAAGCUGACUACUUUCUACUUCUUUGUUGCUCUUGCUUUUUGUUUGUUUGCUCUUAAAGAUAAAAAAAAAAAAAAAAAAAAAUCACAGAAGCACCAUCUCGUAUAGAAUACAGAACUACACAACAGUGAACAGUGCCCUCUUGUGAUCUUUUCUAAGAACUUAGCUGAUUAUUAAAAAGGUCUGGCAACAUUUCAGUAAGAGAACUGGUCAUAUUUGUUUCUUUUCUUUUCUACGUAUACAUUUUUGCAUAUAAAACAAUAAGAUAUUAUCUUACAAAAGACUAUGGCAUAUGUGCUAUUAGUAGCACUCCGGAUGCCUCCUCUGCCAGCUCAAUCUAGAUAGACUUCACGUGGAAUUCAUGUUGUGGAGAUGCAAUGAAUCCUAUGCAGCAUACUGUUGGCAAAACACUACCUACACGAUGGUGCACAAUGCCAGAACCUAGAAAGAAACUAAGAACAGGUGAACAGCUGAGGACAAUGAAAUUUGUGUGACUCUGCACUGCUUACCAUCGAGCAAACAAUCCAGAGGGCUGCUGCGAGCACAAGAGGGCAGACCAGCGCACAUCAUGGAUCUUGCUACCAACAGAGGUCUCAACUUGCUGCUCAAUUUCCUGCUCAUAGUCUUGGUUUUAGUGCUCGCGUUCAUCCUUGUGAAGCUGAUGUGAAUCCCUGGGAGGUUUCUUUUCAAAUCUUGUUCUGAGGGCUUGGGUAUCUUUUGCAAUGAUAACGUAAGGAGGUCUAUCUAACCAGAAAUAUGCCAAGACUGCAUAGAUUGAAGUACCUGACAGAGAAAGUGUUCAGAGGGUUUUAUCAGAAGUGAACCUAAAAGCUACACAAAAUUAUGUCGUGCCACUGAGUAAGGAAAGCACUGAGAGCCUUGUUGAGUACAGAAAGAAAUCUAAGUACACAUAAACAGUUACUUUAGUUUUAUAAAUGCUGCAGUCAACUUUCAUUUUGAAGACCGGCAAAAGAUCAGCAUCAUUCAAAAAACAAUUUCAGAUUACCCGUAGAGUGAAAAAGCACAGAUGCGGGGGAUGGAAGAGGAAUAUCUAUGAACUAUGGUUUGCAGCAACUGAGAUGUGAACAGGUCAAAUUUAAAUCUGAAAAUGUAAUUUUUAGGGACACUGUUUUUGACACCUGUGGUUCACAGCAACACCUUAAAAGCCAGAAAGCAUUCAUGUUACACAUCAGUAACAGAAGCUGCAACUGUUAGAUCUAAAACAAACAAAACAGAAAUCAAACCCAAACAAGGGUCAGUGGCAAGCAAGGGUUAUCAUAUCCAUGAAUCCUUUAGCAUUGCUGCAUAUGUGAGCUGUCAGAGCCUCUGCAUAACAGCAAGAAGAGUGUUGCAUCCUCAACAAGUGCACCACUUAUGCACAGGUCAAGAGCACUGCCUGGAGCCCUCGAGCUGUUUGACAUGCCACUUGUUAUAUGCAUGCCACAGCAGCAUCCUCACAUCAAGCCUGCAGUGAAAGCUUCCCAUGGGACCUACCCCUACAACCCUUCACAGGAUGACCUGCUUUCUCCAUGCUUGCCAGGAAAGGCAGUGAACAAGGAGAGCUCCUUUCUACUAGGAUCAUUUGCCUACCAGGCAACCCUAAAAUACACAGGGAGAGAAGGAGGCCACAAGUAGACUACAAACACCACACUGAGGCCAAGAAGUCCGCUCUUUAGCAUCUCUCUCUUCCCCCAACAAGUUGAGAACCAAAUGUAACAACAUACACGUAUCAUGUUGUAAAUUUAAUGCUAUACACAUGCAUGCACAUGGGACUGCUGGUAGGCAGGAUGCUGGUGGUGCCCAGAGGUGAGGAAAACCCAAAUUCCAGCUCCGUUAUGACAGAAGAAUUCCCUGGUCCAGCAGGUACGCUUUUGAUACCACAGGUGCCCCCAACAUUACAGAGGUGAUCUACUCCAGCUCCACAUAGGAUUGCCACACUAUUACUGCUGUUGUGGCUGGUUCAAUCAUCCAGUACAGAAGAGACUGUACUACAAAAAGAUCUACAAAAAGACUUAGCACAGAAGGAAGACAAUAUGCCAACAGAAACGAUGUUAGUGCAGGCCCACCAUGACCAGGCACCCAUGUUUCACAUCACAUUAUCUCCUUCAGCACGAGAUACCACUAUGUGGGACAGCACUAAUAGAGAAGUCAAAUGAAAGAUUUCUCUUGUGCUUUGAAAUGCAAUAAAAAUUUAAAAUAGCU